rnacentral:rRNA from 1 species
AGCGUACACGGUGGAUGCCCUGGCAGUCAGAGGCGAUGAAGGACGUGCUAAUCUGCGAUAAGCGUCGGUAAGGUGAUAUGAACCGUUAUAACCGGCGAUUUCCGAAUGGGGAAACCCAGUGUGAUUCGUCACACUAUCAUUAACUGAAUCCAUAGGUUAAUGAGGCGAACCGGGGGAACUGAAACAUCUAAGUACCCCGAGGAAAAGAAAUCAACCGAGAUUCCCCCAGUAGCGGCGAGCGAACGGGGAGCAGCCCAGAGCCUGAAUCAGUGUGUGUGUUAGUGGAAGCGUCUGGAAAGGCGCGCGAUACAGGGUGACAGCCCCGUACACAAAAAUGCACAUGCUGUGAGCUCGAUGAGUAGGGCGGGACACGUGGUAUCCUGUCUGAAUAUGGGGGGACCAUCCUCCAAGGCUAAAUACUCCUGACUGACCGAUAGUGAACCAGUACCGUGAGGGAAAGGCGAAAAGAACCCCGGCGAGGGGAGUGAAAAAGAACCUGAAACCGUGUACGUACAAGCAGUGGGAGCCUCUUAAUGGGGUGACUGCGUACCUUUUGUAUAAUGGGUCAGCGACUUAUAUUCUGUAGCAAGGUUAACCGAAUAGGGGAGCCGAAGGGAAACCGAGUCUUAACUGGGCGUUAAGUUGCAGGGUAUAGACCCGAAACCCGGUGAUCUAGCCAUGGGCAGGUUGAAGGUUGGGUAACACUAACUGGAGGACCGAACCGACUAAUGUUGAAAAAUUAGCGGAUGACUUGUGGCUGGGGGUGAAAGGCCAAUCAAACCGGGAGAUAGCUGGUUCUCCCCGAAAGCUAUUUAGGUAGCGCCUCGUGAAUUCAUCUCCGGGGGUAGAGCACUGUUUCGGCAAGGGGGUCAUCCCGACUUACCAACCCGAUGCAAACUGCGAAUACCGGAGAAUGUUAUCACGGGAGACACACGGCGGGUGCUAACGUCCGUCGUGAAGAGGGAAACAACCCAGACCGCCAGCUAAGGUCCCAAAGUCAUGGUUAAGUGGGAAACGAUGUGGGAAGGCCCAGACAGCCAGGAUGUUGGCUUAGAAGCAGCCAUCAUUUAAAGAAAGCGUAAUAGCUCACUGGUCGAGUCGGCCUGCGCGGAAGAUGUAACGGGGCUAAACCAUGCACCGAAGCUGCGGCAGCGACACUAUGUGUUGUUGGGUAGGGGAGCGUUCUGUAAGCCUGCGAAGGUGUACUGUGAGGUAUGCUGGAGGUAUCAGAAGUGCGAAUGCUGACAUAAGUAACGAUAAAGCGGGUGAAAAGCCCGCUCGCCGGAAGACCAAGGGUUCCUGUCCAACGUUAAUCGGGGCAGGGUGAGUCGACCCCUAAGGCGAGGCCGAAAGGCGUAGUCGAUGGGAAACAGGUUAAUAUUCCUGUACUUGGUGUUACUGCGAAGGGGGGACGGAGAAGGCUAUGUUGGCCGGGCGACGGUUGUCCCGGUUUAAGCGUGUAGGCUGGUUUUCCAGGCAAAUCCGGAAAAUCAAGGCUGAGGCGUGAUGACGAGGCACUACGGUGCUGAAGCAACAAAUGCCCUGCUUCCAGGAAAAGCCUCUAAGCAUCAGGUAACAUCAAAUCGUACCCCAAACCGACACAGGUGGUCAGGUAGAGAAUACCAAGGCGCUUGAGAGAACUCGGGUGAAGGAACUAGGCAAAAUGGUGCCGUAACUUCGGGAGAAGGCACGCUGAUAUGUAGGUGAAGUCCCUUGCGGAUGGAGCUGAAAUCAGUCGAAGAUACCAGCUGGCUGCAACUGUUUAUUAAAAACACAGCACUGUGCAAACACGAAAGUGGACGUAUACGGUGUGACGCCUGCCCGGUGCCGGAAGGUUAAUUGAUGGGGUUAGCGGUAACGCGAAGCUCUUGAUCGAAGCCCCGGUAAACGGCGGCCGUAACUAUAACGGUCCUAAGGUAGCGAAAUUCCUUGUCGGGUAAGUUCCGACCUGCACGAAUGGCGUAAUGAUGGCCAGGCUGUCUCCACCCGAGACUCAGUGAAAUUGAACUCGCUGUGAAGAUGCAGUGUACCCGCGGCAAGACGGAAAGACCCCGUGAACCUUUACUAUAGCUUGACACUGAACAUUGAGCCUUGAUGUGUAGGAUAGGUGGGAGGCUUUGAAGUGUGGACGCCAGUCUGCAUGGAGCCGACCUUGAAAUACCACCCUUUAAUGUUUGAUGUUCUAACGUUGGCCCCUAAUCGGGGUUGCGGACAGUGUCUGGUGGGUAGUUUGACUGGGGCGGUCUCCUCCUAAAGAGUAACGGAGGAGCACGAAGGUUAGCUAAUCCUGGUCGGACAUCAGGAGGUUAGUGCAAAGGCAUAAGCUAGCUUGACUGCGAGAGUGACGGCUCGAGCAGGUGCGAAAGCAGGUCUUAGUGAUCCGGUGGUUCUGAAUGGAAGGGCCAUCGCUCAACGGAUAAAAGGUACUCCGGGGAUAACAGGCUGAUACCGCCCAAGAGUUCAUAUCGACGGCGGUGUUUGGCACCUCGAUGUCGGCUCAUCACAUCCUGGGGCUGAAGUAGGUCCCAAGGGUAUGGCUGUUCGCCAUUUAAAGUGGUACGCGAGCUGGGUUUAGAACGUCGUGAGACAGUUCGGUCCCUAUCUGCCGUGGGCGCUGGAGAACUGAGGGGGGCUGCUCCUAGUACGAGAGGACCGGAGUGGACGCAUCACUGGUGUUCGGGUUGUCAUGCCAAUGGCACUGCCCGGUAGCUAAAUGCGGAAGAGAUAAGUGCUGAAAGCAUCUAAGCACGAAACUUGCCCCGAGAUGAGUUCU